GAAAUCUUCAAUGUCAGUGAUAUGUGCAAUUAGAGUUGUUUUGUUUAAACAUGAUAUUAGACUUGUUUUACUGUUCUUGCAUGUCUUACUGUUCAUUCUAUCCAAUAGGGUAGCUGGAUGCCUAAUUGCCGAACCAAUAGAGAAGGCAUUCAAAGUCAUCUCAAAUUCAGCAGACAAUGAUGCUAUUAACACAAAAGAACAAAGAACCAAACCAACCAUCCUCCAAUUUGGGGAUAUUAGUUUUUAGAGGGAGACAGUGAAAAGAUCUCAUUAUGCUAGUAAUACUAACCUGUUGGAUGGAGACCUUGGUAGUGCAGUUGUUUGCGAGGAGGUAGAAGUGCCGGCUGUCUGUGGCAUUAGAGCAAUUUUGGUGUCUCCUGUCAACAGAAGAAAAUGAAUAGCCACUCAGUUGCUGGAUGAAGUGAGCUAUCACACAAUACCAGUUGUGUUCUCUGAGGCAAAGGGAUCAUGUAUAUGGGAUCCUGAAGGCAAAUGGUAUCUAGACUUUCUCUCUGCUUAUUCUGCAGUUAAUCAGUGCUGCUGCCUCUUCAAUGUCUGCACUAAAGCAGCCAACCGUUCGAGUUCAGGCUAUCAUUGCUAAAGGUGUACCAAGUCAGAUGCUAAGCAAUUGAUUGUGGCUAUCAUUGCAUUAUUUUCUUAUGAUCGAGUUGUGGCUAUCAUUGCAUUAUUUGCUUUUGAAAAUUUGAGAAACUUCAUGUUGCAGAAACUAUUAGUACUAAAGAAUUAUGUCAACAUGUAAUAAGAAGAAUCACUAUAACAUAUCUGUUGUGUAUGUCUCACAAUGUGGUUAUCUAGGCUAUCAAAAAGUGGUUAAAACA